GGCCCCAUCGUCUAGUGGCUCAGGACACUGGGUUCUCAUCCCAGCAACACCGGUUCAAAUCCGGUUGGGGCCA
rnacentral:tRNA from 1 species